CCUACGGGAGGCAGCAGUGGGGAAUAUUGGACAAUGGGGGCAACCCUGAUCCAGCCAUGCCGCGUGUGUGAAGAAGGCCUUCGGGUUGUAAAGCACUUUAAGCAGGGAGGAAGGCUAUACGGUUAAUACCCGUGUAGAUUGACGUUACCUGCAGAAUAAGCACCGGCUAACUCCGUGCCAGCAGCCGCGGUAAUACGGAGGGUGCAAGCGUUAAUCGGAAUUACUGGGCGUAAAGCGCGCGUAGGCGGUUUGUUAAGCGAGAUGUGAAAUCCCCGGGCUUAACCUGGGAAUUGCAUUUCGAACUGGCAGGCUAGAGUGUAGAAGAGGGGUGUGGAAUUUCCGGUGUAGCGGUGAAAUGCGUAGAGAUCGGAAGGAACACCAGUGGCGAAGGCGACACCCUGGUCUAACACUGACGCUGAGGUGCGAAAGCGUGGGGAGCA
rnacentral:rRNA from 1 species